UACAGAGGGGGCAAGCGUUAUUCGGAAUUAUUGGGUGUAAAGGGUUCGUAGGCGGUGUGGCAAGUCGGGAGUGAAAUCUCUGGGCUCAACCCAGAGUCUGCUUCCGAAACUGCUGUGCUUGAGUGUGGGAGAGGCGCGUGGAAUUGCAGGUGUAGCGGUGAAAUGCGUAGAUAUCUGCAGGAACACCCGUGGCGAAAGCGGCGCGCUGGACCACUACUGACGCUGAGGAACGAAAGCUAGGGGAGCAAACAGG
rnacentral:rRNA from 1 species